AAGUCGUAACAAGGUUUCCGUAGGUGAACCUGCGGAAGGAUCAUUAACAAGUCCACAUAUAGUAAGCAAUUACUAUAUAAGCCCCGUGCAGCAAUGCACGUGAUACAUUUUAUCGUUUGACUGAAAGUAAUGAAACAAAUAGAGAAAACUUUUAACAAUGGAUCUCUAGGCUCUU
rnacentral:misc_RNA from 1 species